GAUGAACGCUGGCGGCGUGCCUAAUACAUGCAAGUCGAGCGAACAGACGAGGAGCUUGCUCCUCUGACGUUAGCGGCGGACGGGUGAGUAACACGUGGAUAACCUACCUAUAAGACUGGGAUAACUUCGGGAAACCGGAGCUAAUACCGGAUAAUAUAUUGAACCGCAUGGUUCAAUAGUGAAAGACGGUUUUGCUGUCACUUAUAGAUGGAUCCGCGCCGCAUUAGCUAGUUGGUAAGGUAACGGCUUACCAAGGCAACGAUGCGUAGCCGACCUGAGAGGGUGAUCGGCCACACUGGAACUGAGACACGGUCCAGACUACUACGGGAGGCAGCAGUAGGGAAUCUUACGCAAUGGGCGAAAGCAUGACGGAGCAACGCCGCGUGAGUGAUGAAGGUCUUCGGAUCGUAAAACUCUGUUAUUAGGGAAGAACAAAUGUGUAAGUAACUAUGCACGUCUUGACGGUACCUAAUCAGAAAGCCACGGCUAACUACGUG
rnacentral:rRNA from 1 species